UGGUGGAGUGAUUUGUCUGGUUAAUUCCGUUAACGAACGAGACCUCAGCCUGCUAAAUAGUUACGCAAACCGCCUGUAUGUGUGAAGCGCGGGCAUGUUGGGGCCGGUUUCGAUCGGCUUCGGCUGCCCGCGUGGAUCACUGGCUGGUUUAGCGGAUACACUUCUUAGAGGGACUAUUGGUGCCAACCAAUGGAAGUUUGAGGCAAUAACA
rnacentral:rRNA from 1 species